rnacentral:piRNA from 1 species
UCUCGUUUUCGGGUUGUGCUG